ensembl:lncRNA
CAAAUGAGUAAGUUCUUUGCAUCAGGUGGCCAAAGUAUUAGAGUUUCACCUUCAGUAUCAGUCCUUCCAAUGAAUAUUCAGGACUGAUUUCCUUUAGGAUGGUCUGGUUGGAUCUCCUUGCAGUCCAAGGGACUCGCAAGAGUCUUCUCCAGCACCACAGUUCAAAAGCAUUAAUUCUUUGGUGCUCAGCUUUCUUUAUAGUCCAACUCUCACAUCCAUACAUGACCACUGGAAAAACCAUAGCUAUGACUAGACAUACCUUUGUUGGCAAAGUAAUGUCUCUGCUUUUUAAUAUGCUGUUUAGCUUGGUCAUAACUUUUCUUCCAAGGAGUAAGUGUCUUUUAAUUUCAUGGCUGCAAUCACCAUCUGCAGUGAUUUUGGAGCCCCCCCCAAAUAAAGUCAGUCACUGUUUCCCUUGUUUCCCCAUCUAUUUGCCAUGAAGUGAGGGGACCAGAAGUCGUGAUCUUAGUUUUCUGAAUGUUGAGUUUGAAGCCAACUUUUUCAGUCUCCUCUUUCACUUUCAUCGUAGGUUCUUUAGUUCUUCUUCGCUUUCUGCCAUAAGGGUGGUGUCAUCUGCAUAUCUGAGGUUAUUGAUGUUUCUCCCAGCAUCUUGAUUGCAGCUUGUGCUUCAUCCAGCCCAGAGUUUCUGAUGAUGUACUCAGGACAUAAGUGAAAGAAUGUACACACUUGACACACUCCUUUCCCUAUUUGGAGCCAGUCUGUUGUUCCAUGUCCAGUUCUCACUGUUGCUUCCUGACCUGCAUGCACAUUUCUCGGGAGGCAGAUCAGAUGGUCUGGUAUUCCCAUCUCUUUCAGAAUUUUCCUGAGUUUGUGGUGAUCCACACAGUCAAAGGCUUUGGCAUAGUCAAUAAAGCAGUCAAUAAAUAGAUGUUUUUCUGGAACUCUCCUGCUUUCUCGAUGAUCCAGCAGAUGUUGGCAAUUUGAUCUCUGGUUCUUUUGCCAUUUAUAAAACCAGCUUGAACAUCUGGAAGUUCAUGGUUCAUGUACUGUUGAAGCCUGGCUUGGAGAAUUUUAAGCAGUACUUUACUAGCAUGUGAGAUGAGUGCAAUUGUGUGGUAGUUUGAGCAUUCUUUGGCUUUGCCUUUCUUUGGGAUUGGAAUGAAAACUGACCUUUUCCAGUCCUGUGUCCCCUGCUAAGUUUUCCAAAUUUGCUGGCAUAUUGAGUGCAGCACUUUCACAGCAUCAUCUUUUGGGAUCUGAAAUAGCUCAACUGGAAUUCCAUCACCUCCACUAGCUAUGUUCAUAGUGAUGCUUCCUAAGGCCCACUUGACUUCACAUUCCAGGAUAUCUGGCUCUUGGUGAGUGAUCACACAAUCAUGGUUAUCUGGGUCGUGAAGAUCUUUUUUGUACAGUUCUUCUGUGUAUUCUUGCCACCUCUUCUUAAUAUCUUCUCCUUCUGUUAGGUCCAUACCAUUCUGUCCUUUAUUGUGCUCAUCUUUGCAUGAAAUAUUCCCUUAGUAUCUCUAAUUUUCUUGAAGAGAUCUCUAGUCUUUCCUAUUCUAUUGUUUUCCUCUAUUUCUUUGCAUUGAUCACUGAGGAAGGCUUCUUAUCUCUCCUUGCUAUUCUUUGGAACUCUGCAUUCAAAUGGGUAUAUCUUUCCUUUUCUCCUUUGCCUUUAGCUUCUCUUCUUUUCACAGCUAUUUGUAAGGCCUCCUCAGACAACCAUUUUGCCUUUUUGCAUUUUUUUCUUGAUGUUUAUCUUUACUCACUUACCUUGUGGUUUUCCUGGUUCUUGGUAUAAGAAGUGAUUUUCAGUUGUAUCCUGGACAGUUUAGAUAUCAUUUUCUUGAGAACUGAAUCCUUUUCAUCUUUGUGAGCUAAUCUCCCUGCUAAGGUGUAGCUUAAGGGAGGAUCAGAUGAGUGUCUGUGUCAGGUUUCCUAAAGGGUCUCUGCUGAUAUAGGAAGUAGAGGACUGGCUUACACGUUUCCUUGCAAGUGGAUGCUUCCCACUUGGUCCUACCGAUACCUUCCCAGUGAAAGUGGGACAUCAGUUGAUACCACCUCAUUGCCUCCAAGUGGUGUAGAACCAGGUCUUGCUGACAUCAAGGAUGGGGGUGCAGAGGGCUGAUUCACCUGCUUUGUGGCUACAGGGGAGGGAGGCAAUUCAACAAGUCGUCGUUGAGAAUGAGGGAGAGGAAGGGAGUUGAGUGCCAACUGACUGCAUCUCACAUCUCAUUGUUGCCACGUAGGCAUGGAGGUUCAGCCAUCUACUGGGCUCUAGUGACAUGAGUGAUGGGGAAAGCAAGUGUCGACUAGAUGUGCCUCACUGUUCAUUAAGUUUCAUUGCUGCCUAAUGGGGGUGGGAUGACUGCUCACUGCUGGACCUCACUGGAUGCUAUCCUGAUGGAAGAGUCAGGGUUACCAGAAUGGUGUAGGGUGGCAGAGCAGCUUUCCACUCAGCCCCCCACUAAACUGAGGGGUGGGAGAAAUGUAAUUUUUCUUUAGGAAUUUGCCUGGAGCAAGGCAGUGUUACCAAAAGGCUUUCUGUUGAUAGGCCACCUCUUUUCAAAUAUUUUGACUUGGGAAUAGGCUUUUCUUCAAGUAAUUUUUUUUUGUCCAUGCUAGUUGGUGAUUUCUGGUUUGAGGCUUCUGCCAUGUCUAGAAUAUAUGUUCUUGAAAUCUUAGUUUGAAGAGGGAGGAACUCUGCCUCUCUAAGAGGUGGAAAUGCUGCUGCUGCUGCUAAGUCACUUCAGUCAUGUCUGACUCUGUUUGACCCCACAGAUGGGAGCCCACCAGACUCCCCUGUCCCUGGGAUUCUCCAGGCAAGAACACUGGAGUGGGUCGCCAUUUCCUUCUCCAUUGCAUGACAGUGAAAAGUGAAAGUGAAGUCGCUCAGUCGUGUCUGACUCUUAGCGACCCCAUGGACUGCAGCCUACCAGGCUCCUCUGUCCAUAGGAUUUUCCAGGCAAGAGUACUGGAGUGGGGUGCCACUGCCUUCUGCAGAGGUGGAAAUGGGGCUACUCCAAUAUUGGAACUAAACGUCUCAGUAACUAUUUUUAAAUAAUUAAUUGCCAACAUCCACUGGAUCAUUGAAAAAGCAAGAAAGUUCUAGAAAAACAUCUAUUUUUGCUUUAUUGACUAUGCCAAAGCCUUUGACUGUAUGGAUCACAAUAAACUGUGGAAAAUUCUGAAAGAGAUGAGCAUACCAGGCCACCUGAACUCCUUCUUGAGAAACCUGUACGCAGGUCAGGAAGCAACAGUUAGAACUGGACAUGGAACAACAGACUGAUUCCAAAUAGGAAAAGGAGUACAUCAAGACUGUAUAUUGUCACCGUGCUUAUUUAACUUAUAUGCAGAGUACAUCAUGAGAAAUGCUGGGCUGGAAGAAGCAUAAGCUGGAAUCAAGAUUGCCAGGAGAAAUAUCAAUAACCUCAGAUAUGCAGAUAACACCACCCUUAUAGCAGAAAGUGAAGAAGAACUAAAGAAUCUAUGAUAAAAGUGGAAGAGGAGAGUGAAAAAGUUGGCUUAAAGCUCAACAUUCAGAAAACUAAGAUCAUAGCAUCCAAUCCCAUCACUUCAUGGCAAAUAGAUGGGCAAACAGUGGAAACAACGGCUGACUUUAUUUUUGUGGGCUCCAAAAUCACUGCAGAUGGUGAUUGCAGCCAUGAAAUUAAAAGACGCUUACUCCUUGGAAGGAAAGUUAUGAUGAAGCUAGACAGCAUAUUAAAAAGCAGAGACGUUACUUUGCUAACGAGGUGCAUCUAGUCAUAGCUAUGGUUUUCCAGUGGUCAUGUAUGGAUGUGAGAGUUGGACUGUGAAGAAGGCUGAGCGCCGAAGAAUUGAUGUUUUUGAUCUGUGGUGUUGGAGAAGACUCUUGAGAGUCCCUUGGACUGCAAGGAGAUCCAACCAGUCCAUCCUAAAGGAGAUCAGUCCUGGGUGUUCAUUGGAAGGACUGAUGUUGAAGCUGAAACUCCAAUACUUUGGCCACCUGAUGCGAAGAGCUGACUCAUUUGAAAAGACGCUGAUGCUGGGAAAGACUGAGGGCAGGAGGAGAAGGGGACAACAGAGGAUGAGAUGGGUGGGUGGCAUCACUGACUCGAUGGACAUGGAUUUGUGUGGACUCCAGUAGUUGGUGAUGGAUAGGGAGGCCUGGUAUGCUGCGGUUCAUGAGGUUGCAAAGAGUCAGACACUACUAAGCGACUGAACUGAACUGAACUGACAUGCUAUUUGGUAAGAAUAUUUCCACGGACCUUGUCGUUCGAGUGGGCUUCCCUGGUGGCUCAGAGGUUAUUGUGUGUGUGCGUGUAUGGUUGCAUGUACAAAGACAAACUUGAAUGGUUUAAAUUUUUCUUUCUCUAAUACCCAUUUAACAUAUUUUGCCUUCCUUUCUUACACACGUGUAUACACACACACACACACACACACACACUUCUUUUGUGUUGUUGAUCUACCCUGCAAGCUUACUUGCACUAUUCUAUUAUGCCCACUACAGUUUAUUUCAAAUCUUGCCCAGUAAUUCCUUGCCUUAGGGUGGAUGUAAAAAAUCAAGAGCAUUAACUUUUUUGUUUUUCCCUGAAAAUAUCUUUAUUGUCUGCCUUUGGUUCACAGCUUGGGAGAAGGCUCCAAGGCUUCCUUGACGUCUCAGACAGUGAAAAAUUUGCCCGGAAAAUGGGAGACUGGGGUUCGGUCCAUGGGUUGAGAAGAUUCCCCUGGAGAAGAAAAUGGCAGCUCACUCCAGUAUUCUUGCCUGGAGAAUCCCAUGGACAGAGGAGCCUGGCGAGCUAUAGUCCAUGGGGUUGCAGUCAGAUACGACUGAGCUACUAACACUUUCUUCACUUGGGAGAAGGCCCCAGGGUGGUUAAAAACUGCCUAGUGUCUGCAAAGGGAGGCUGCUGACAGAAGCCCUGACACCAAGGGGAUGUCAAAGGGGCCUCUCAAGGCCCGCUGGGCCGUGGGGGCUUCUGUACGUGCCUGCUGCUGCUGCUGCUAAGUUGCUUCAGUCGUGUCCGACUCUGUGAGACCCCAUAGACAGCAGCCCACCAGGAUCCCCCGUCCCGGGAUUCUCCAGGCAAGAACACUGGGGUGGGUUGCCGUUUCCUUCUCCAAUGCAUGAAAGUAAAAAGUGAAAGCGAAGUCGCUCAGUCGUCCCAACUCUUAGCGACCCCAUGGACUGUAGCCUACCACGCUCCUCCUCCUCUGUCCAUUGGAUUUUCCAGGCAAGAGUAUUGGAAUGGGUUGCCAUUUCCUUCUCCAGUACGUGCUUGAGGCUGAGCGUAUUGAGCAGAUAGAUACCCAGCCCGUGGGCUGCCAGCUGAUGGAAAUUAGUCACAUGGUUGCAAUCUUGGUGAGUUUCACCUCUCAACCCGGAAGUCCUUCAUCCCGGAAGUUAGCUAGGGGCCGCCUGAACCUGGGGCGUUCGGAUCCAAUAGGGCCUUGUUCAGGUUCUCCAUAACGACAGUAGGUUCCAUAGCGUCAAAGGUUUUGCCCCACUUGUCUUGGAACGGCUUCCCUAUGGCAAGUUCUGGAAGAGGGCUCAGCUGCAGUCGUUUGUGUGUUAAAGAGAGGCUUGGCGUUCUCACUUUUCUCCUCGGCCAGCUCAACGAAGUGGCCCAUAUCUUCCCGAGUCACGUGGUCGUAGUCAAAAUAGAAGCCCAGCGAGAGGUAAGUGGAAGGGGGCCUGCAGAGUCUUGUGGACCAGGCAGUUGCCUGAGUCCUCCACUUCGGUGGAAUAAUUCUGGGAAUAUCUGGGAAGGCCGCGGUUGAGUGAGGAUACGAAACUCAGCGUAGGUUCCAAGGUUGCAUUUGGAAAGGGGGUUGGAGUGGAGUCCGAGGCCAGGAGCCAGGGCGGCGCUGGGUCUCUUCCGUGUAAACACUGUUGAAACCACAGACUGAACUGGUGGGCCACCUGGCUGCAGUGCCAAGAGUAUUAACUUUUUUUAAAGCUUUUACUUUAUUUAUUUACUGUUUUUAUUUUUGGCUGAGCUUGGUCUUCAUUGUCGUGCACUGGAUUUCUCUAGUUUCAGAGAGUAGCAGGGGUGCAGGGCGGGCUACUCUCGAGUUGCUGAACUCGGGCUUCUGGUUGCAGUGGUUUCCCUCCUGCAGAGCACAGGCUCUAGGGUGCUCAGGCUUCGGUAGUUGCAGUGCAUGGACUCAGUAGUUGCAGCCGGCACGCUCUAGAGCACAGGUGCAGUAGUUGUGGCAUAAGGGCCUAGCUGCAGCAAGGAAUGUGGGGUCUUCCCAGACCUGGGAAGGAGCCGGUGUCCCUUGCAUUGCACGGUGGAUUCUUAACCACUGGACCACCAGGGAAGCCCGGCAGUAUUAACUUUUUAACUCAGAUCCCCAAUUUCCUGUGGUAUUGAAAUUUUGGCUUAGCGGCCUUGCAUGGAGAAUUUCUUGAGUUCAGGUCUUUGACUACUCAGCUUUUUAUCUGUAGCAUCUAGGUUCAGUUCGUGGCACCUCCCAGGUUCUCAGUGACUAUUUGUUGGCAUAAAAUGUCCAUAUAAGCAUUUUUUCCCCCAGUACCCUUGCCUCUGAUUGGAAAUCCUUUCUUUGCAAAUCCUCAGAUGCAGCUUGUUAAUUUACAUGAAAGAGAAAGGCAUGGCCUACCUGAUGUUGGACCGUCUCACUAUGGCAGUUCAGUGCUUCAGUUGUCUGUUGCUGUGUAAUACACUGCCUCAAAGCUUGGUGGCUUAAAACAACAAUGAUUUUGCAGUUUGGAUAGGAUUUGGUAGAGCUCAGCUCUGUUCCAUGUGUCGCCAGCUGGGGUGUUUUAACUGGGGUUGGAGGAUAUACUUUCAAGAUGGUGCACUCGGCUAACUGGCAAGUUGGUACUGGCUAUUGACUGGGGGGAGCUCAAGUGAAGACUGCCAACCAGAGGUUUGGCUUAUAUUUCACAAGAGCUGUUUGGGCUUUCUUACAACAGUGGCUAGAUUUCAAGAUGUAGAAACUACCCCGCAUUCUUAAUAGCUUGCUUUGAAUACUCAUAAUAUUUCUUUCUCUGCCUUUUAUUGGCCAAAUUAGUCUUAGACUCAGCAGAUUCGAAGGGAAAGAAGGUAAGUGCCACCUGUUUAUGGGAGAAACACCAUGUACAUAUACGGAGGGGCAGAAAUUAGAGACUCACUUUGGAGAAUAAUUUUCUGCCAUAAAAUUUCUUUAUGAAAUAGGAAAUUGAGGGCGAAAAAUAACACAUGCAUCACAGAAUUGGUAUAAAAAUCAUAUUCCUGGCACAUAACAAACAGUUGAUACAUUUUUUGAAAGAUUUUUUUGAUGUGGACCGUUUUUAAAGUCUUUAAAAUUGUUGCAAUAUUACUUCUGUUCUGUUUUGGGGUUUUUUUGGCCACGAGGCAUGUGGGAUCUUAGUUGCAUGACCAGGGAUCAAACACACAGCCCAUGCAUUGAGAGAUGAAGUCUUAACCACUGGACUGCCAGGGAAGUCCCACUACAUUUUAACUAAUUUAACUAAUUUUCAUUGCUAUGAGAAAAUGAAAAAUUCCUGCAAAACACCAAGUUGGAGAAGAACAUAAUUUUUCCUCCAUGGAAAUUAUAUUUUCUCAUAAUUCCAGUUAGAUGAUUUUACUGGUUAGUAUUUCCUUUGAUAUCUUUAAUUGCCAUAUUCUCUUUGCUUCUACUUAACUGACAAUUUUUCUUUUUUAAAGAUCUCAAACCAGCAGUCCUUAAAUGAAAGGACUAACCCACAGUUUUGAGGGGUAAUGACUUUUGGUGUCUCUGUUGUAAUCCUUUUUCUUUUUAUACUUUGUUGCAGGUUUUUUUUUUCUUCUUGAUAUCACUUUUCAGUCCCGCCACAUUACGCUUUGAAAAAGCAGCUCUCUGUAGAGAUACAAUGAAUGAUAUUGGAAUGACAUGCCCUGGAAGCUGCUCCUGGUUCUCUCUUUGGAAACUCCUGUGCAGUUAGUCCUCUAGGAAGUUUACAGGUCAGCAGAGGUCAUCAGCCAGAUAAAUCUGAAGAAUAACCAGUGGAGCUAGAUAAAUUCAAGUCAGAUUGGCCAUGUGGACAGAAAGAUUUGGUAGAAAGAUCAUGAGAUUUGGAAUCAGGAAAAUGCUUGGGUUCCAGUCUAGACUCUGCUAUUCCUAGCUUUGUGAGUCAUAGCAAUUUUCUUCAUCUCUCUGAUCCAAGUUUCCUCUAAAUAUCUUCAAAAGUGGUGAUAUAAAUGGUAAGGACUGUUACAUGGAUCAGAGGAACUAGAUCACUUGAAAGUUUUUUUUAUCUUAACAUUCAGUACAGGUAUUAUUAUUUUUAUUGAGAAUAAGGGUCUAGAGCAAUUUAAAAAAAUUUUUAUUGGCGUAUAGUUGAUUUACAGUGUUGUGGUUAGUUUCCGGUAUACAGCUGGAGCAAUUCUUAUUGUACCUGUAAUCAUGAAAAAUCGUGCUUCUGUGGAGUGACAAUUAUGGAAAAAAUUUUUCCAUUGAAAUUAUUUCGAGUUGUUGGUGACUCUAACUGGGAAUUGUGGAACACUUAGAUAUGUGAGUGUGUUCUAUUUUAUUAGUAAUCUAGCCAGAUUUCUUUCUUAUUGGCUGAAAUGCUGGUUCAUUUUUCAGACAUUUUACCUGAAAGGAAUUAACAUCUGAAUGACCAUAUUUCAAAAUGAUGCAAGGAGAAAGAAAAAAAGGUGUCCAGUAAUGACUGGACCAAAAGCAUAUUUUAGAAAACUUUGCCCCAUGGUGUGAGUAGAUGAGUUUUGAUAAUGGAUUUUGGAUGAAAAUCAGGGGCUUAUUUUCAGUUUGAGACUGUAUGAUUCUUUCAGAAGAGGAAAGAAGAGAAAAUAACAAAAUUUUAAAUGUAGUACUGAACACUCUGUUAGGCACUGUGGGAGAUAAGAAAAUGAACUACACACAUUUCAUCCUUUAAUUGCGUUUCUCUUUCAGAAACCACAACAACUUACAAAAAUCACUACAUAUGUCAUAAAGAAGGUCAAAUCAGAAGGCCGAGAGCAUUUAAAGGAGGAAGAGAUUAUGUCCGGCUGGAGGAUCAACCCCCUCCCAAUUUUAGGCUCCACUCUGAGCCACAUUAAGCUCAUGUAUCUGAGUAUCAUAUGGAAUCUGGAAAGGACUUGGAAACAGCUUACCUAAGUUAAUUGAGUUGCUGAAAUUUUAUAAUAUUACCAUUGGAAUAUUGGAAUUGUGCACCUGGAAGGAAUGUCUAGAAGAACUUCUCUUAUAGGACUCCUUUCUGUAAGAGAGAAAUAUGGAAAGGCCUUGAGUGAGUACAAUGUACAGUUUCUUCAGGGGAACUUCAAAGACAGUCUUCAAAAUUUCUGGUUCAUGGAUGUCACUUCGCUCUUACGAACGGGGUUUCUGUUCCUUGAACGGACCAAGCUCAGACCACUCUAGACAUUUGAACUACUUCCUCUAUGGGGAAUAUUCUAAGAUUUUUGGAAGUCUGUAUCUUUGGAUCAUUCAAGUCUCAGGUCACAUAUUUGUUGUUGUUGUUUAGUCUCUAAGUCGUGUCCAGCUCCUGGCAACCCCAUGGUCUGUAGCCCCAAGGCUCCUCUGUGCAUGGGAUUUCCCAGGCAGGAAUACUGGAGCGGGUUGCCAUUUCCUUCUCUAAGGGAUCUUCCCAACCCAGGGAUGGAACCUGCAUCUCCAUUGGCAGGCCGAUUCUUUACCACUAAGCCACAUAUGCCUCCUCCAAAAGGACUGAAGGUGGGAAGAGAAGGGGCCGACAGAAGAUGAGAUGGUUGGAUGGCGUCACAGACUCGAUGGACGUGAGUUUGAGUAAGCUCCAGGAGUUGGUGUUGGACAGGGAAGCCUGGGAUGGUGCAGUCCAUGGGGUCGCACAGAGUCAGACAAGACUGAGUGACUGAACUGAACUGAACAGGAUUUCCUGCAUGCUAUAGGGGAAACAGUUCCCCAAACCCCUCCUACCAGUCACUCUCAACUACAGUUAUUCUGUUUAACUACUUUCAUAGUAUAGACCUUGGGCUACAGUUACGCUGUUUAUUGUAUUUUUUCUCUUGCCCUCCCCACCUUGACCUGUAAGCUCCCUGAGAUCAGGAACCUUGCUUAACCUCUUCACCACAGUAGCACCUAGAGCAUAGCCAGAGAGCAAUAGUGAUUUGUCAGAUGAAUGAAGGAUUAAUUCUUAUGAAAAUUUUUUCAGUCACUUCAAAGUGUUUUUGAUAUUGAGAGGUAAACUUGUAAGCUUAGUCUAUCAAAUUGAUUUGAUUUGGUGUACAAUGGAUUACUAUUCAGUCAUGAGAAAGAAGGAUGUUAUGCUAUUUGUGAUAACAUGGAUGGUCCUUGUGGGAAUUAUGCUAAGUGAAAUAAGACAGAGAAAGAAAUAUUGUGUUAUAUAACUUAUAUGUAGGAUCUGAAAAAGCCAAACUCAUAGAAACAGAGGCUAGAAUGGUGGUUACCAGUGGCUAGGGCUGGGGGAAAGAUCUGGAAAUGUUGGUUGACAUGUAUACAUUUCCAGUUAUAAAAUGAGUAAGGUAUGGAAUCUAAUGUACGGUGUCAUGAUGAUAGUUAAUGCCUUAUUAUAUACCUAUAUAAAGUUGCUAGGACAGUAGAUCCUAAUUAGAUGAUAUAGUACAGAUGUUAGCUAAAGCAGUGGUGGUUAAUUAAUUUGCAGUCAAAAUAAAAACUUAAUACAUUGUACACCUUAAAUGUACACACUGCUCUAUAUGUUGAUUUCAUUCAAUAAAUCUGGAAAAUAUGUAGGAUCUUGGUGAUACUGGUGGUCACUUUGUCAUAUUGGUAUAGAUGUUACAGAGAAUACUAUUGUUCCAAAUGGUUGGUAUAGAACAUCUGAACAUACCUGGAACUUUUGAUAAUACCUAAUGGAUUAUACCAUAUAAAAAGACGCCUAAAGCCCAGAAGAACAAAAGACACACAGUUCUGGAAAGGAAACAUCGUCUAACUUGCAUAUUAUCAUCUCAUUCCUUUUGUAAAAUGACCCUGCUCUCCAGUCACUGGAUGUGGGAUAGUAUGGUAAUGCGGUCUGCUGCUGGAGGUUUCCAUGUGAGUAUGUUCCAAGUGUGACAAGGGUUUGCUUUUUCUUUUUCUUUUUUUGUCUUUAAAAGCAAAGAUUGAAAGUGGGAGGAGAAGGGGGCGACAGAGAAUGAGAUGGUUGGAUGGCAUCACUGACUCAAUGGACAUGAGUUUGAGUAAAACUCCAGGAGUUGGUGAUGGACAGGGAGGCCUGGCGUGCUGCAGCCCAUGGGGUCGGAAAGAGCCGUACGGGACUGAGCAACUGAACUGAACUUUUUCCUAAGACUUUAUGAGCCUGACAGGACUCUGCCCUUAACUUGGUCCCCAGAGGUCAGGGCAGUAUUUUGUUUUGUUUUUUGGUAGUGGACCGGGGAAGGUUCUUUUAACAUUUAAUCCUCAGAACAAACACUGACCUGGUAAGUACUAUUAACACUUAUUUUCACAUUAAGCAAGCAGACUCAGGCUAUGCAACUUGGCCAACUUCUUGCCACUGGUAAGUGCAAGAACCAGUAUUGAACCUGUUUUCAGGAACCAAAGAGAGGUUCGAUGUGACCUGUCAGUACUCAGCAGUGUCCCUUAGAGUGGAGAUGAGUUCAUGAUGUCUAAUCUGUUAUUGAUUGACUUAAAAUUGGUGGAAAGCUAUUUCAGAUACAGAACCAAAAUCUGUUUCUCUUUAUGUCUAUAUAAAAUUGACCUGUGGGAGCAGAACUGAAUGUCCACCUUUCCUUUUCCUGACAGUCAAUCACUUUCAAAUCCUUGAGUAAAAGUACCCACUAUGGCAGUUAGGGAUGGAUUCAUACAGAGAUGGCUGGCACCUAAAGAAAAUUCGUGGCAUUUGGAUUUGUGCAAAUGAGAGAAAUACACCUUUUAGGUAAUCAGAUGUGAUGAUGAUAGAAUGAUUCACUGAGUGCCUGUUGUGUCCAGCACUGUGCUAGUCUCUCUAGAUGCACUGUCUCAGCCUUGAGUAAUUCUCAUGAUGACUGUGCGCUAGGGGAAUGGUGCUUCAUUUUAUAGAUGUAAAAAGACACUCAAGAGAUGUGAAGUGAUCCAGUUCACUCAGGUAUUAAGUGACAUGAGAUUUGAAGCCAGACUUACGUGAUUCCAAAGCAUGUUUUCUGCACUAGCCUAGGCUUCAUCUUGGUUGCAUAAAUUAUAACAAUAUAAUCUGUUGAUCAGUCUGAAUUCAGUGGCGUAUAAACCAAAAGGCCUUACUGUUUUCUAGUCACUAUCUUAAAUAGGCAGUGCAUAUAUACUCGAUUUUUGUCCUCUAUUAACCUUUUAAGAAGAUUCCAUUGCAUCUUGGGCCUUUUUACGACAAAACCCAGCUAGUUUAAAUCUAAAAGUUGUCUCAUUUGUUUCCCUCCCUUCAUCUUAGACCCAGAAGCCUAAGCCCAUGUGACUGUAGUGAAGAAGAGCAUGUUCUGUUUAUUUAAUCUUUUUUCCCCUUUUCACAGGCAUUUAAGGCAGUGAAGAGGGAAAUAGUGAAGGUCAAGUGACUCUUAACUGAUGUUCUUUUCUGACUGUUCCUAGUUCUUCAGGUAACUGAUCUGCUACUGAUGCGGUCUAUAAGGCAAGUGUUUUACCUGUGGGCUUGGUUUAGGAAAACGUAGGAGAAAGGGAAGGCAGAUUAAGGUUUGGAUGCCAGGAAAGAUGACAUUUAUGGUAGGGGGAAAACUGGAAGAAAGAGAGCUAGUUCAGGAUAGAUAUAAUCCAACAGACAUGACAGAAACUCUUACAUGAUGAUUUAAAAUGGAAAGACAACUUUCGCUCUGUGGAGCUGAUGUGUUCCAGCUAUUGAUUCUAAAAUGAACUCAAUUUUCCUUCUUAACUGCUAUGAUAGAAUCAAGGAUGUAUCCCCACAAGGGAAAAAGAAAAUCCUCAAAAGACUCAAUUAAAACUUUAGGUGAAGAUGUAGUUGAGAGGGUGGCCAGCGCCCCGGGUCCUGUGGGAUUGUUGUCCGCUUUGUGGCUCACUUCCCUUUGCUGUGAUUUACAGACUCCUGGGUCUCCCCGAGGCCCUCGGGCCCACCCUUGCUUCCUUUGGGAUAGGAUGGUCGUGCAUGUCUCCUGUCAGAGAAGUGAAUAUUCAGUCCUGAAACCCUGGGAGUUCUCUUCUGGUUGGCUAUGCAUCUUUGCAUUCAGGUUUUAUGCCUUUGCUCCACUGCCACUUCUCACCUUUAGAACAUUUCUACAAGUAAAACCCACAUCAGAGCAUCCAUGUGGGAUAAUUCUGACCAUAUCUCUAUCCCUUUACAUGAACAAAAAUCCUCCCCAAAAUUGUCUGUAGACAUAUAUGGCAUCUUACAUUUUAUCAAACACUUAGCUGCUGUAUCAUUUUGGCAUUCUCUGUGUCUAUAUAAAACACUCUGUUGGUCUAUAAAGAGAAGGCUGUCUUUGGAACCAGUUCGCAGAAAACUCAAUCAGGCAAAUGCCAAAUUAUGUCCCUAACUCUGUCCCCUGGGUGAUUGGAUCUUGGGCACCAUGAGAGUUACUGAGGUUCGGAAGGAGAACAUACCCAGCAGAAACCAGGAGAACAGAGAACUUGGAGACACCGUGGGAGAGAGAAGAGGCAUAAGGAGAGAGAAAGGGUACUAGCAAAGAUGGGGUUGCUCUAGAAAUACUCUUGCACUGGCUUCUGUGCAGGAAACCUGUAAUACCAAUCCCGUUGAAAAGACUGGGUCAAUAGAGUCACCUCCUGAACUCUCAGUUUAUAGCACUGUCACUUUCUCUAACUUUAUUACAGCUGAAGGAAGGAGUCCUGUUGAUACAAAACAUGAUUACAGCUCUUUUGGAAAAGAAGAAAAAGAUUUUCACCAACACUUCCCAUUUAUUGUCACUACCAUUUUUUCCCCUGUCCUGCUCUCUCAUUCUUGGCCCACAUAGGAAAUCAGAAGGUAAUUUAAAAUUCAGUGAUGAGGGCUCGGAGCUUAACACAUUUAGAAGAAGAGAGGAAAGAAAAGCGUCACAUCUGGACAGGACUGGGAGUGAUGUUGGAAAGCUUGCCAAGGAGGACCAGAAGAGCUGUUGGCAAGUGGCCUCAUGGUGCCGUGUGUGACCACAGCAGACCCCCAAGACGUUAUCUUUUCUCAGGCUAUGGGAUAGUGACUGAAGUCAUGGAAGCAUGGGAGAGAAGUUGAGAGAGAGUUUAUGUGUUAGGAAAAUUGGGUUGAAUCUUUGAUUUACUAAUUACUAUUUUGUAAUAGUAAUCCUAAGGAUUUCUUCAAUCCUUCUAAGCAUUUCUUUCUGUAUGUAUAACAGUAUCCUCAUAGAAUAUGAGAAGUAAAUUAUUUAUAUGUACAGACACACAUAUGCAUAUAUAUAAUUCUUAGCAUAUAAAAAGU